rnacentral:piRNA from 1 species
UUUUGUUUUAAUUCGCCUUUA